rnacentral:rRNA from 1 species
GACGUAGGGUGCGAGCGUUGUCCGGAUUUAUUGGGCGUAAAGAGCUCGUAGGCGGCUCGUCGCGUCGACCGUGAAAACCCGCAGCUUAACUGCGGGCUUGCGGUUGAUACGGGCGGGCUAGAGUUCGGUAGGGGAGACUGGAAUUCCUGGUGUAGCGGUGAAAUGCGUAGAUAUCGGAAGGAACACCAGUGGCGAAGGCGGCUACCUGGACUUAUACUGACACUGAGGCGCGAAAGCGUGGGGAUCAAACAGG